rnacentral:rRNA from 1 species
UGAGGAAUAUUGGUCAAUGGGCGGGGAGCCUGAACCAGCCAAGUCGCGUGAGGGAAGACGGUCCUACGGAUUGUAAACCUCUUUUGCCGGGGAGCAACGGGGUCCUUGCGAGGGCCUUAUGAGAGUACCCGGAGAAAAAGCAUCGGCUAACUCCGUGCC